UGCGUAGGUGGCGCCGUAAGUCAGGUGUGAAAUUUCGGAGCUUAACUCCGAAACUGCAUUUGAUACUGCGGUGCUUGAGGACUGGAGAGGAGACUGGAAUUCACGGUGUAGCAGUGAAAUGCGUAGAUAUCGUGAGGAAGACCAGUGGCGAAGGCGGGUCUCUGGACAGUUCCUGACACUGAGGCACGAAGGCCAGGGGAGCAAACG
rnacentral:rRNA from 1 species